AGUGAACGCUGGCGGCGUGCUUAACACAUGCAAGUCGAACGAGAACGGGUUAUAGCUUGCUAUAACUGUCAGCUAAGUGGCGCACGGGUGAGUAAUAUAUAGGUAAUGUGCCCUAGAGAAGAGGAUAACAGUUGGAAACGACUGCUAAUACUCUAUAUGCCUUUAAGACAAAAGUCUGCAAGGGAAAUAUUUAUAGCUCUAGGAUCGGCCUGUACGGUAUCAGCUAGUUGGUGAGGUAAUGGCUCACCAAGGCAAUGACGCCUAACUGGUUUGAGAGGAUGAUCAGUCACACUGGAACUGAGACACGGUCCAG
rnacentral:rRNA from 1 species